rnacentral:pre_miRNA from 1 species
CAAGUACUCCCUCCGUCCGGAAUUACUUGUCAUCAAAAUGGAUGUGUCUAGAACUAAAAUACAUCUAGAUACAUCCAUUUCAAUGACAAGUAUUUACGGACGGAGGGAGUACAAG